rfam:Ancylostoma ceylanicum strain HY135 Acey_s0571_scaf, whole genome shotgun sequence.
CCAACGGCCCUCUUUAGGGCCACAAUCUGCUUUUCGUGUACUAAUU